rnacentral:rRNA from 1 species
GAUGAACGCUGGCGGCGUGCUUAACACAUGCAAGUCGAACGAUGAAGCCGAAGCUUGCUCUGGUGAAUUAGUGGCGAACGGGUGAGUAACACGUGAGUAACCUGCCCUUGACUCUGGGAUAACUGCUAGAAAUGGUAGCUAAUACCGGAUACGACCCUCGGAUGCAUCUUCAGGGGGUGGAAAGAAUUUCGGUCAAGGUUGGACUCGCGGCCUAUCAGCUAGUUGGUGGGGUAAUGGCUCACCAAGGCGACGACGGGUAGCCGGCCUGAGAGGGGGAGCGGCCACUCUGGGACCGAGACACGACCCAGACUCCUACGGGAGGAAUCAGUGCGGAAUAUUGCACAAUGGGCGCAAGCCUGAUGCAGCUACGCCGCGUGAGGGCUGACGGCCUUCGGUUUGUAAAACGCUUUCCGCAGGGAAGAAGCCGCAAGGUGACGGUACCUGCAGAAGAAGCACCGGCUAACUACGUGCCAGCAGCCGCCGUAA